rnacentral:tmRNA from 1 species
GGGGAUGUUCCGGAUUCGACACGAUAUACGGACGUCUAGCGGCAGUAGGGUCAGCCCUUUAUAGCUCGAGGUUUUGUUAAACGACAACGUUUCAGAACAAGCUGAUUCAAGCUUAGAACCCGCUUUCUUCGCUGCGAAUUCAGCACGUCUUACUCCUUGCUACGCUUAGUUCGUAGACCUCGGAAUAGACUUUAAGGAUCAUUUGUUUUCUCAAUUUCGGAUGAUUCGUCAACAAAAUUGAUAUAUGGUUAAUCAUGCUAGUAGUUAAUCAUGAAUCUUACUAGCUAUCCUGGUCUUAGUUGUACUAUUACUGUCGAGAUCAGUGAACCAAGCAAAAUAGUACUAAACUGUAGAAACUAGACGAAAAGAUAUUGUGGAAAUGGGUUCAACUCCCAUCAUCUCCACCA